GUCUUUCAUCACAGAAGUUAUGUGUGUUUGAUGUGAUUUUUCAGAGUACAGAUGUCACUGCAAAGCGAACGGCAGUCCUCCGUGGCCUUCCUGUCAUCCUUGGAGAUGAGAACACAGAGUUCUUCAAGACAUGCAUUGACUGCGAUGACCCAGCUGUGUCUCACAACCCCAGUGGAAUCCUGACCAUAACUCCUGAGGGUGAGCAGAUCUGCCUUGACUCGCUGCACCUUCAGUCUUCAGGUACCGCCAUCAUAUUGGAAGGAAUAAUUGUGAUGGAUGACCUUGAAAAUAUUCCACAUGCCAUGUGUUUGCUCUUUGGACUUACAUAUGCCUUGAAUUUGGAGUACCCACAACAACUGAAGAACACCUUUGACUUCAUUCAAAGGCUUUUUCUCUCACUUGGAUAGAAAUAGCUGAAACCAAAAAUACAGUCCCUCAAAAAUCUUCUGAUGCCAUGAGUGAAUGUUAUCACAGUGUUAAUGUGAGGUGACUGGGCAACAUUGAUACCUUUACUGGAAAAGUGACAUUACUUUCCCGUUCGAUCAGUUUUUGUGGGAGGGAGCCUCAUUGCCCUGUCAGACUACUGAAUGUUUUCAUGUUCUCAAGGAGAAACACAAACACUACUUACCGUUGAGGUUUUGUUUUUCCUUUUGUGUUGUUGCUCAUACAGUUGUUAGAUUGAAUACCAGCACCAGGUUCUUUAGCCACUUGUCUCUGACUUAUUAUCUGACGUUGACUUAUUCAUCCACUAAUUUAAAUCAGAAAGCUAAGCCGUUUUGAGUGGGGGCUGUCUCAAACAUAAGAAUCACAGUUGCGCAUUCAGUUGAAAUUGUGAUUUUAUUUUGCUGUCAUUUAACUGGAUUGUAAACAGAGUUGAGCAAUAUUUGCUAUUCACUUUAUUGAUGUUAGGAUGAAUGUUUGGCUCUUAAAUUGACCUCUGAGUUUGUGUAUUGUUCAUACCAUAGUCAACAGAGAUGUUUUUUCAGGGAUUCUCAAAGUGUGACUGAUUUAGGGCUCUUUUAAGGACUCAAUGCUAGAUUAAAG